AUACAAUAAUAGUAAGGGACUUUACCACCCCACUCAUAGCAAUGGACAAGUCAUCUAAGCAGAAGAUCGACAAAGAAACAAUGGCUUUGAAAGACACACUGGACCAGAUGGACUUAACAGAUAUAUUCAGAGUAUUUCAUCCUAAAGCAGCAGAAUCCACAUUCUUUUCGAGUGCACAUUUGUGGAACAUUUUCCAGAAU